rnacentral:rRNA from 1 species
AUGCAUGAGGAUUUGGAGGGAUCGGUGCAUCUAGGAGGCGAUAGUUUUAGAAUCAAGUGUGAUGUGGCCGUGAAGAAGAUCCAUAACGAAGAGACACAUGCAAAUCAGUUUGUUGUGGUUCCUCCAAGCAACUUGCAUCACCAUUUCGGUGAGCUCCUGAAAAGUAAGGAUGGAGCAGACGUGGCCUUUCGAGUUGGUGGCCAGGUAUUCGAGGAUCAUAGGUCCGUGCUCGCUGCUCGUUCGCCGGUCUUCAAGGCAGAGCUCUUUGGUACCAUGAGGGAGAGAUCUGGUGAUCCUAUUGAAAUUGAUGAUAUAGAAGCAGGUGUGUUCAAGUCCUUGCUCCAUUUCAUCUACACGGACUCACUCCCUGAGACGACUCAUGAAGGAACCGAUGAAGGCGCAACGCACGAAGAUAUAGCAACAACUGGCCAUCUACUUGUAGCGGCAGAUAGAUACGACAUUGCGAGGCUCAAGCUGAUAUGUGAGGAGAUAUUGUGCAAUCACAUUGACUCCAGCAUGGUUGCAACUAGUUUGGUUUUGGCUGAGCAGCAUAAUUACCAUGGACUCAAGGAGGCUUGCUUUGAGUUCCUUGCUUCUCCGUCCAAUUUGGAAGCGAUGAUCGUAAGUGAUGGUUACCAACAUCUAAAAAGUAGUUGCCCAUCUCUUCUGCGAGAGCUGAUUGCUAGACUCUUGCCUGUUGAGCUGACAGCAGGCAAGGAUAUUAUCAGGGACAUUUAG